AGACUAUCAACAUGGUGAUGUUGACCAUUCUUCUGCUGGUCAGUGCUGCCUUUACACUGGGUGAUACCCUAACUCUGGACGAAGCAAAUGCCAUGAUGAGAUCUGUAGCAGAUUUUAAAAAAGCCCCACAGGCUGGUUCCAGUUUAAUUCACGCUGCUUCAUGUUUGUCAAGACUGCAAGGACAUGGCUUGAAGCAGAGCGCCACUGUAUGUUCCUUGGAGCAAACCUGGCGUCUGUGCACAACACUGUAAAGUACCUCGGAGCAAACCUGGCGUCUGUGCACAGCUCUGAGGAGUCCCAAUUUCUACAGGCGGUGGUGUUGAUCAAGACUGGCGAUUUCCCUCUGACCUGGAUUGGAGGAUAUGAUGCUGUUCAGGCAAAUGUAGAAAAGGACAGGCUAUGGUUCUGGAGUGACGGAUCUUAAUUUGAUGACCAGAACUGGGCGAAAGACGAGCCCAAUAACUAUAAGGGUGCCAGAGAGCCAUGUGUUCAGAUGAACUUUGGAGGUAAACAUGCCUGGAAUGAUGAAUUAUGUGGAAGGAGAUAUCCCUCUGUGUACUCCAUAAGAAAUUAUUCAAUCCAUCAAACUAUCAACUGAAAUCCAAAAUUCCACUCUGUAGUCAGCAUCCUAACUGAACAUAUUUUAUGGUAAAAUCAAAUACUUUUUGAUGAUUAUUUGUUUCUGUAAAAUGAAAGUUUUAGUUACUUGUUGUACAUAAAUGUUGUGGUUUGUUGUCAAUAAAA